rnacentral:rRNA from 1 species
UACGUAGGGUGCGAGCGUUGUCCGGAAUUAUUGGGCGUAAAGAGCUUGUAGGCGGUUUGUCGCGUCUGCUGUGAAAUCUCAAGGCUCAACCUUGAGCUUGCAGUGGGUACGGGCAGACUAGAGUGUGGUAGGGGAGACUGGAAUUUCCGGUGUAGCGGUGAAAUGCGUAGAUAUCGGAAGGAACACCAGUGGCGAAAGCGGCUUCCUGGUCCAGCACCGACGUUCAGGCACGAAAGCGUGGGGAGCAAACAGG